AUUGAACGCUGGCGGCAGGCCUAACACAUGCAAGUCGAGCGGAUGAAGGGAGCUUGCUCCUGGAUUCAGCGGCGGACGGGUGAGUAAUGCCUAGGAAUCUGCCUGGUAGUGGGGGAUAACGUCCGGAAACGGGCGCUAAUACCGCAUACGUCCUGAGGGAGAAAGUGGGGGAUCUUCGGACCUCACGCGAUCAGAUGAGCCUAGGUCGGAUUAGCUAGUUGGUGGGGUAAAGGCCUACCAAGGCGACGAUCCGUAACUGGUCUGAGAGGAUGAUCAGUCACACUGGAACUGAGACACGGUCCAGACUCCUACGGGAGGCAGCAGUGGGGAAUAUUGGACAAUGGGCGAAAGCCUGAUCCAGCCAUGCCGCGUGAGUGAAGAAGGUCUUCGGAUUGUAAAGCACUUUUAGUUGGGAGGAAGGGCAGUAAGUUAAUACAUUCCUGUUUUGACGUUACCAACAGAAUAAGCACCGGCUAACUUCGUG
rnacentral:rRNA from 1 species